AACGUCCUUCCUCUUUCCAUGCUCAGUGACUUCUCUGACAAACGUCCUUCCCCUUUCCAUGCUCAGUGACUUCUCUGACAAACGUCCAUCCUCUUUCCAUGCUGAGUGACUUCUCUGACAAACGUCCUUCCUCUUUCCAUGCUGAGUGACUUCUCUGACAAACGUCCUUCCCCUUUCCAUGCUGAGUGACUUCUCUGACAAACGUCCUUCCCCUUUCCAUGCUGAGUGACUUCUCUGACAAACGUCCUUCCUCUUUCCAUGCUGAGUGACUUCUCUGACAAACGUCCUUCCUCUUUCCAUGCUCAGUGACUUCUCUGACAAACGUCCUUCCUCUUUCCAUGCUGAGUGACUUCUCUGACAAACGUCCUUCCCCUUUCCAUGCUGAGUGACUUCUCUGACAAACGUCCUUCCUCUUUCCAUGCUCAGUGACUUCUCUGACAAACGUCCUUCCCCUUUCCAUGCUGAGUGACUUCUCUGACAAACGUCCUUCCCCUUUCCAUGCUGAGUGACUUCUCUGACAAACGUCCUUCCUCUUUCCAUGCUGAGUGACUUCUCUGACAAACGUCCUUCCUCUUUCCAUGCUGAGUGACUUCUCUGACAAACGUCCUUCCUCUUUCCAUGCUCAGUGACUUCUCUGACAAACGUCCUUCUUCUUUCCAUGCUGAGUGACUUCUCUGACAAACGUCCUUCCUCUUUCCAUGCUGAGUGACUUCUCUGACAAACGUCCUUCCUCUUUCCAUGCUGAGUGACUUCUCUGACAAACGUCCGUCCUCUUUCCAUGCUGAGUGACUUCUCUGACAAACGUCCUUCCCCUUUCCAUGCUGAGUGACUUCUCUGACAAACGUCCUUCCCCUUUCCAUGCUGAGUGACUUCUCUGACAAACAUCCGUCCCCUUUCCAUGCUGAGUGACUUCUCUGACAAACGUCCUUCCUCUUUCCAUGCUGAGUGACUUGUCUGACAAACAUCCUUCCUCUUUCCAUGCUGAGUGACUUCUCUGACAAACGUCCUUCCUCUUUCCAUGCUCAGUGACUUCUCUGACAAACGUCCUUCCUCUUUCCAUGCUCAGUGACUUCUCUGACAAACGUCCUUCCUCUUUCCAUGCUCAGUGACUUCUCUGACAAACGUCCUUCCUCUUUCUAUGCUGGGAUUUUUCCUCUUAGCACCUGAACCUACC
rnacentral:lncRNA from 1 species